GACCUGAAGUGUAUUUUGGACUAAAAAUACAUUUCCAUGAGGGUUUCUACACUUGAACUGAGCUCG
rnacentral:snoRNA from 1 species